rnacentral:rRNA from 1 species
AGUCGAACGGUCAGUAGCAAUACUGAUAGUGGCGCACGGGUGCGUAACACGUAACUAACCUACCCACAAUUGGGGGAUAGCCCGCCGAAAGGCGGAUUAAUACCGCAUAAGACUAUAGAGUGGCAUCACUUCGUAGUUAAAGAUUUAUUGAUUGUGGAUGGGGUUGCGGGUCAUUAGCUAGUUGGUAAGGUAACGGCUUACCAAGGCGACGAUGACUAGGGGAGCUGAGAGGCUGGUCCCCCACACGGGCACUGAGAUACGGGCCCGACUCCUACGGGAGGCAGCAGUAGGGAAUAUUGGGCAAUGGACGAGAGUCUGACCCAGCCAUGCCGCGUGCAGGAAGAAGGCUUUCUGAGUCGUAAACUGCUUUUGACAGGGAAGAAUAAGCGCUACGUGUAGCGUGAUGACGGUACCUGCAGAAUAAGCACCGGCUAACUCCGUGCCAGCAGCCGCGGUAAUACGGAGGGUGCGAGCGUUGUCCGGAUUUAUUGGGUUUAAAGGGUGCGUAGGCGGCCCGUUAAGUCCGGGGUGAAAGCCCGUUGCUCAACAACGGAACUGCCCUGGAUACUGACGGGCUUGAGUACAGACGAGGUUGGCGGAAUGGACCGAGUAGCGGUGAAAUGCAUAGAUACGGUCCAGAACCCCGAUUGCGAAGGCAGCUGACUAGGCUGUUACUGACGCUGAGGCACGACAGCGUGGGGAGCGAACAGGAUUAGAUACCCUGGUAGUCCACGCCGUAAACGAUGGAUACUCGCUGCGAGCUAAAGAUUGUUCGUGGCUUAGGGAAACCGAUAAGUAUCCCACCUGGGGAGUACGCCGGCAACGGUGAAACUCAAAGGAAUUGAC